CCUACGGGUUGCAGCAGUGGGGAAUAUUGGACAAUGGGCGAAAGCCUGAUCCAGCGACGCCGCGUGUCGGAAGGAGUCCUUCGGGAUGUAAACGACUUUUGGUGGAGACGAAUAAGCAGCUCAGGGAAUGGGGCUGUGAUGACGGUAUCCAUGGAAUAAGCCCCGGCUAACUACGUGCCAGCAGCCGCGGUAAGACGUAGGGGGCAAGCGUUACCCGGAAUUACUGGGCGUAAAGGGAGCGUAGGCGGGAGGUCAAGUCCGGUGUGAAAGACCCUGGCUCAACCAGGGAUGAGGGCUGGAAACUGACAAUCUUGAGUACAGCAGAGGAAGAGGGAAUUACCGGUGUAGGGGUGAAAUCCGUAGAGACCGGUAAGAAGGCCAGUGGCGAAGGCGCUUUUCUGGGCUGUUACUGACGCUGAGGCUCGAAAGCCAGGGGAGCAAACCGGAUUAGAUACCCUUGUAGUC
rnacentral:rRNA from 1 species